GUAGGUUCCAUGCCCAAUGUGAGGCUUAAACUUACGACUGUGAGAUCAAGAGUCAUACGCUGCACUGUUUGAAUCAGCCAGGCGCCUUGAUAACUUCUCAGGCUUCCUCAGAGGACUCAGGGGAUGGGCAGUGAAAGAGAAGCCAAGACAGAGGGUUGCUGGAGCAAUUAGCCAUGAUGUACUAAGAACCAGUCUGUGUUUGACACGGAGCUCAAGUGCCUCUGUUCUUUCUCCCAGAUUCCUCACCCUGAGGUGGCUAGGUUUGCUGUGUGAAGAGAGCCUAACAGAAAAGUUAACACCAUCGUUGCUCACUCACAUCUGCAAAAAAAGGAAAUCCUGUCCUGAGUUUCUUUACUGGUGCCAUUCUCUGCUGGAGAGAAGUCUCAUGUGGGCAUAUCUGAGUGACAGAGGACUCUGCUCCAGCUGCAGAUGAAUUUGGAAAUAUGAGAAGGCAGAAGCUGAUUAACUUAUUCAAGGGCAAAGCAUUCUUACUAAUUCGCCAUUCUCCAAAGACUAACUAGAACUUGUUGACUGAGAAUCUAGCCUUUCGAGCAUACUAUUUUUUAAAAGCACUCUGAAAUCUAUCCACACCCUUUUCUUUUUAUUCAAAAAGGACUUAAGAAAUGUCAGUUCAGGAUGUCACUAUUACUGGUCCCUCAACCCCCAUCAGCAAGUUGGCCUGUCAGUUUCCUUCUACCAUGCUCGAACUUUGAGGAUAGCAUGGCUUCCGCUUAAAAAAUUUUCCCUGCAUACAGGCAGAUGCUUGAUUACAUAAUAAUAAUAAUAAAAUAAACAGUAUGACAAUGUUAUGCAGUUCCUUCUUCCAGCUUCCUAGGAGCUUUGCUUCCAAAUUUACCUAGACUUCAAUUGAAAGUUUCAUCAUAAAAUGGUAAGUCAGGCUUCAUCUUCCAUAUUGAGAAGUGUUCUUUAAGAACACUAUAUAAAUGCAAAUAAAUAAAUGUGUACAAGACACUAUCUGGCAUCUAUAUGUAUGUAUAGCUACAACUAUACAUACACAGGUGUUAUGUUCCUAUUGCAGCUGUAGCAAACUGUCAAAUCAAAGCGAUUUCAAAUUACACAAAUUUUUUAUCUUACAGUUCUGUAGGUCAGAAACCGAAAACAGCUUCUACUGGACCCAAAUCAAGCUUUUGGCAGGUCUAUGCUCUCUCUGGAAGCUCUAGGGAGGAAUCUGUUUACUUGCCUGUUCCAGUCUCUAGAGGAUACCCACAUUCCUUGACUCGUAUCUCCCAUCAUCAAAAUCAGCAAUAGUCACUGUCUCAUAUGACAUUAUUCUGACAUUGACUCUUCUUCUGUCUCUCACUUUCAUUUUUAAGAAAUGUUGUGAUUUCUUUGGGUCAAACUGGAUAACCCAGGAUAAUCUCCCUACCCCAAAAUUCUUAACGAUAAUCACGUCUGUAAUAUUCCUCUUGUCUGUAAAGUAAGAUAUUCACAGAUUCCAGGAAUUAAGAUGUAGACAUAUUAUGAGGGCUGUGAUGUGGAAAUUGUUGGGGUUCAGAGCCGAUGGCCAAGAAAGAAUUCUUGAGACGUGUUCCAUGCAAAAGGUAGUUUUAUUAAAUCACAGGGACAGGACACAUGGUCAGAAUGAGCUGCCCUGGGGUUGUGACAGGUAGCUAGAUUAUAUACUUUCAAGUGGGAGGGGGUUAGGGGUAACAUAAGUCUCUAUAGAAUUUUGGAAGCUAGGUUUCUAGGACCUUAAUGGGACCAGCUGCUGUGAGGAAAAUGUCAUCGAUUAGUGUUUAGUAAAACCUCAGUCAUGAGACUCUUCAGAUGUGUAUCAGUGGGGCAUAAACUUGGAGUACGAUUGCGAACAUCUAUCUUGGGAGGGGUAGAGAUAAAAGAAGUUUCCAAAGGAAUUUUUAUAUGUUAAAGUAGACUUACAGGAUCCUGGGGGUUUAAGAUAAUGUUAAACUAAGAGCCUUUUGCUCUUAGCAAAGUGUCAUCAUCUGGGCAGCUGAGCUCCUAAGAGAAGGUCACUCUGCCUGAUUAAAGGACUUGUUAAUGGGCUGUAGACAGUAAGGAAAUUUAAAUUUUUCUUUUGCCUUUGUUUCCACAUCAGGCAUUAUUCUGUAUGUGUAUGUGUAUUCUAUAAUACAUUUUUAAAAAUCUGCAAACUGGAAGUAUUUAAUGGGCAACAGUUUUUGUGUGAAGAAUCUAAUUCUUGCCUGAAAGUAAAAAAUUGGAAGAGGUAUGUUUUAUUUUUAAGUCCACAGGGUGCUAUUUAAUAAAUGACUGCUCCAGUGAACUGGAAGGUCUACCUUUAAAUAAGCAUUAGUUCUUUCAUAUUACUAGAAUGUUAGAAGAGAAAUUAUAAGAAAAAUGGUGCUCCAGGGUUGGAUAUUUGAAUAAAAUACAUCCAAAAUAUAUGGCAAUAUAAAUACUAUACUAACCUUAAAGUAAAUGUUAUACAUAAACAAAUAUUUCAUUCACAAAUAUGUUUUUCUACUACAGUUUAAAAUAAAUAGAUAAUCGGGUUAUUCCUCAAAUUACUAAGUAAACAAAGGCAUCUUGUGUGUAUGUGUGUGUAUAUAUGUAUUUCUUUCCAGGAAUAUUUCAAAAAGCAGAUGUACAAUAUCCUGUUUCUAAAAACUGUUACUUCUGUUUGUGUAUGAGUACAAAUCAUAUAGUUGUCCCAGUGUCUUCGAUGUGAUUUGAUUUAGGGACCAAGAGUGAAUGGUCAACAAAGAAUUCUUGAGACAUUUUUGGUACAAAAAAGAGUGGUUUUAUUAAAGCACAGGGAUGGGAUCCUUGGGCAGAAAGAGCUACGGAUAAUGAGGAGCAAUUGGUUAUACAGUUUUAAGUUGGGGAGAGUAGCGACAAAAGGAUUCCAGAAGCAUUUUCAUAUGUUGAAGAAGACUUAAGGAUCCUGGAGGCCCCGCUGGGGUCAAGUUAAGGUUGCUUUUUUGCCUUUAGGCAAAGCAUUAGCAUUAAGAUAGUUGGAGUUCCAAAGAAAAGGCCUCCUCGGCAGGUCUCAUAUAUUUGUCAAUGGGCUGCAAGCUACAAGGAAAUUUAAUUUUAUCUACCUUUCCUUUUGCCUUUGUUCUCUACAAAGUCUUUAGUAAUUCAUAAUUUCUUUGACAAAAUCAUACAUGAAAAAUUUGUCAAGCCCUUUUCCAUUUCAAAAGGCUAUUAAAAUCCACCUAGAUCCACCUGGAACAGGUAAAUAUUGAAUUAAAAUCAGUUUUUAAAUCUUCAAGGCAAAUAUAGGUGAAUAACUUAAGAACAUCUUAAAUGGGGAGAAAAAUAGCAACCUAAAACUCUACAGGCAGAGAAAGUACUUUAGCUAACCUUCAAAUUAAACAAUAGAAAAUUACCGAUUACAAACAAAAUUACCCAUUUUGCAUACGUAAUUACAUGGGUUUUAUUUAUUUAUUUUUUUGCAUCAUUAGAUACAACUUAGGAAAUUUAGCCUUAGCAUUUGUCUAUUUUGAUCAGAAAUAUAUAAAUAUACAAAAGACUUGCCCUAAUAUUAUUAUGCCUGAAUUUUCCUUCAAAUCACUGAUUUAAUGCAAAGCAAAUUGGUCCUGUUGCUUCAUUGCGCUAGUCAUUUCUUUCUUAUGUAAAGGAACGAAAAAUAAAAUUUCCCUCUACCCUCCUAGGUUCUUGACUGAAACACCUACCUAAUAAAAGAAAAAUUAACAGGAGAAAGAUACAUAAAAGUUUAAUAAUAUGUAUACUUCCUAUAUCCAUGGGAGAUACCCAGAAAAACUGAGCAACUCGGAAAUGGCCCAAGCCACCACCUUAAAUAACAUCUACAGAUAAAAAGGAAAGGACAAGGUGAAGGUGACCAGGAAAACCACUGUAAACAAAAGUAGUUGUUAUGCAGAUUAAGUCCUUGGGGCUCAGCCCAUUGAGUGCCCAACUUAGGCUCAGGUCAUUAUCUCCUGGUUUUCGGGUCGAGCCCAUAUUAGGCUCUGUGCUGAUGUCUCAGAGCCUGGAGCCUGCUUUGGAUUCUGUGUCUCGUGCUCUCUGCUCCUCCCCUUCUCACACUUUGCCUUCUCUCUCAAAAGUAAAUAAAACAUUAAAAAACUAAAAUUAAAAAAAAAAUCACUGCUCUUGACUAUUAUUUUUCCUUUCAAUGAAAAGCAAUGGAUUCAUCUUGCUUUCUCUCAUUUUUAAAAUUUUAUUCUGCCUUUUCCGCAAGCAGCCUCUCUUCCAGCAUUUGUUAACUAUAAAGAUCUUUUGUGUAUGUUUUUGUUGACCAUGUUUAGGGUGGUUAACACUGAAUUUGUUAUAGAUGUAAGUGAAGGGGAGCGGCACAUAACACCCCAAAAAUGCCUCUUCGCCAUAUUUAGGGCUGAUUAUUUUUCAGAAACUGCAGACACAGGAGAAGCUCUGAGAACCAGUGGAAGUGAUCCUUUUGUAAGACAUUUGCAUUUAUAAGGAAAAUCUCCCUUUUGCAAGGUAUCCAUCUCUCUCUGGGGGGAAGGGAGGGACCAAUCUAAAUCUCUAGAAACUCAGAGAUGACAAGGGCUUAAUCUGCAUAACAACUACCUUUGUUUACAGUGGUUUUCCUGGUCACCUCACCUUCUCUAUUUAAGGUGGUGGCUUCUGCCAUUUCAGAGAGUUGCUCAGUUUUUCUGGGUAUCUCCCACGGAUAUAGGAGGUAUACAUGUUAUUAAACUUUUAUGUAUCUUUCUCCUGUUAAUUUUUCUUUUAUUAGGUAGGUGUUUCAGUCAAGAACCUAGGAGGGUAGAGGGAAAUUUUAUUUUUCGUUCCUUUACAUAAGAAAGAAAUGACUAGCGCAAUGAAGCAACAGGACCAAUUUGCUUUGCAUUAAAUCAGUUAUCCUCAAAUCUGACUGCAAUGUAUAAUCAUUUGAGAAGUUUUGAACGGAUAGGAGUGCUUUGGCUCCUCCCACAGGGGUUCUAAUUAGCCUGCGGAAUGGCAUGGCAAUUUCAACAUUUUAAAAGCUCUUCAGGUGCUUCUAGUAGGCUGCUCAGAUAGAAAAUCAUUGAAGGAAGCAGUGAAUAUGUCAACCCUAGGAAUUUUUUAAUUCCCUUCUAUACCAAGUACAUUGUCACUUGUUUGAAAUAAAUUCUCUUCAGCUGUCAAAGUGGCUCAGUAAGAUAGAUGUUAUUAUCCCCACUUUACAGAUGAAACACAGACAUUAAGAAAAUUAACGUGAUAUGUUCAAAGUCACACAUCUAAUAAUUUUAAACACCAGGGUUAGAAGAAAAAUGUGCCAGAUUAAAAAACUCAUCCUUUGCAAUAUUCUAUCCUCUAGAAGCUAGCACAAUCUCCGGGACCUAGGGGCCAUUAAAAUCCAAGUUAACUAUUGCCCAUAAAUCCGUUUGUGCUAGUAUUCUUAAGUAUACCUACUUAUCACCAAAAUCUAUGCAUAUGCAAAAUGAAAAUAUUCAUAUUUGGAAUAGCACUAAAAUAUAAAUACAAAUAUAUUUAAAUAGGUUGA